CGGGGCCCGGCCCCCGGCGCUGUCCCUGUCCCUGUCCCUGUCCCCGCCCGGCCGCCGCCGUCACCUGGGGCCCGUCCCCUCGGCAGGAGGCAGGGACGGGGACACCCGCCCCGAAAAUGAGCGAAAAAAAGUUCCUCCAUCCGCUAACACAGGGAAGGCCUUGGAGCUCCUGGACAUGUUUCCCGACGUGCGCAGGGAGAACAGAUCUGCAGGCAGCAUCUUCCCUGUGAAUCGGCAGUCCUGGAAAACGCUCCUGGGUGCUGGAGCAGUGCUGUGCACCUCUGGCCUAUGCCAAUUUCCAGGGACGUCUGGGGACUUAGCGUGGCUCAGCAGCCAGUCCCGAUAUACAACUUGUUUGGACCUCUGUCCUGGAGCAGAACCAAGAUUACUGAACUGGACAGGAGCUGUGUCAGAGCAGCUGCCCUCUGUUACCAGAGAAUAGCUCUGCUCACGUACAAUUUACUGCUGUAAAGGGAAGCAAAAACAAAGUACAAAGAGGGCCUUUGAGCCCCUGUUAUUGUCAGGAGGAAUUCUCUGAAUGAGUAGGCCAGGAAGGGAAAGCUAAGGUUCUUUCUGUGAGCUGAAUUUAUUUUAAGAGUAAUAAAUAAAAGCACCUUAGGAAAAUACCAUCUACUUAGAGUAGAAGGUAUUACUUUUCUGUUACAACAAGUAGUAAGGGUUUCUACUUCCGAAGUGCUGAAACACUCUUCUUAUCUAUGUACUGUUAAAGAAUCACCAAAGAAUCUGAGCAACUUCUCUGAUUUUUAAAAAGGAGAAGUGAUUUGAAUAUAUGCUUACUUCAUUCCUAAAUACUGAAAAACAUAGAAUAUUGUCUUUUUAUGUAAUCUAUGGGUUGAUUUUUCCCAUAAAAUACGAAAAUAUGAAGCAAGUUCUGGGAUUAAAUAAAAAUUAUUAAUUUGUCUUGCAGCAGAAUACCCCAAACUUUAUUGGAUAAGAGCCAUUAUGCAAAACAGUACAGAACCGUGUAGAGAUCAAUAUGAACAACAACUUAUUCAUAAUGAUGAAGUACAGAUUAUUCCAGAAGUGUUACAUAAAAGUGUCUGCAGUGACCUUUUUGGUCUGAAACAUUUGUCACUUUUGGUUCGACAAUGAACCAAUAAACCAUUUUGGUUCCGAGAAAUGAUUGACAAAGAAAGGCCAGAUAGAAAAGACAGAAGUGAAAAAGGAAGACCAAGGCUAGCUGGCAAUCAAAUAGCUUUCUGCAGGAUUGCUAGUAUAAACUAGCAAUCAUUUCAGAAGGCAAUUCAGAAGGCAAGUUCCUGUUACACUUUAACAUAAUAAAAAUGAUUAUCAAUGAGAUUUAUAAAUCUCUCCAUUAUUUCAAUACAUUUGUGAAAUAAUGCUGCCUCUAAACCACACAAUUUUGCUAGCAAAAAAUCCCAAUUAGAUACAGUCACAUGUAGCAACAGAAGAUAUACAAGCAAGAGUUCUUAAUGAAAAAGGAAAAAAAAUAAUUAUGAUAGGGAACACAUAUCUCUUUCAGAGUUCUGUUCAAGCUUCUGAACUGUUUGUUUAUGCCAUUUCAGUGCUCAAUUCCUUUUUAAGGCUUUUUUGUUGUUGUUGUUGUGUCCCGUUUCUGUGUCAUAUUGCAUUACCUCUUUCCAUAAGGGUAUGGUGAGCAGAUAUUUUCCAGGAAAGACAGGAGAUUGGAAAACAUCAGAUCUUACCAAGAUGACUGUUUGCAGUGAGCAGCAGAGCAUGCAUGUAAAAGGACCGGCCACUGAUCAUCAUAACAUCUCCAUUUUGUGGUUCUGAAGUGGAAGAUCUGUCCAAGACCUCCUGGAUUAAUUUCUUCAGAGAAGUGUGUUUUUUUGUGGGGGGAUCUACUUAAUUCAUUUUAUAGCUUAAUUUGGUCAAUAUACCCACAAAAUUUUCCUAAUCUCAGUCAUCUGCACUGAAAUUUCCUAUUUUAUGUUCUGUUCUCUACUUUUUCAUGGAUGACUGGGGCCAUAUGCUCCAACUACUUUCCAUUCUUCCUCUUGCCAGCAAAACAGGCUCUCAGUUUGCAUUGAGCUCUAUAAUGCUGUCUGGUGAGAGAUCCAGAGGGACCCAUUGGAUAUUGCUCAGAGCAUCUACCUCAGGGGAAACGGCUUUCAAUUCAACAAGCAAAAUUUGGGAUAAUUGCAGCAGAAAAAAAAAAUCUAUUAGUAUAAAAUAUAGCAUCCUAGGAAAACACCAGGAAAGACUGAGAAAACAGGAGGGAAAAUAGAAAAAAAAAAAAAAAGACCAAAAGGACUGGGAAAAGAGAAUAAAUAUACUGUGGAACGGGAUAGAAAUGAGAGGGGUGGAGUCUAAAAUGGGUGUAAAUAAGGGAAAGUGAUGACUUAGGCUAGUUCUGUUGCCAGUUCCGAAUUUGCAUAGAGGAAAUAACUGUACGUUUUCUGUGAAGUUCUCAUGCUAUUUUUGUCCCGACUGUUUUCACACCAGUGGUGGUGUGCCAUGACAUGAUUUCCACCAAGGUUUCUCUGACAGCUUCCCAGGGAUGCAGCUCUGGUGCUGGUGUGAACGGUGGAGGCUUGCUACUGACAUUAUCUAACCCGCUGAUCUGAGGGGAUUUCUCUUUCUACACCUACAGCUUCUUAAUGCUGUAAUACAUCAAUUCCAGUUACUGAAGCAUAAGAUAUUUUUCUCCCUGCUUCAGCCAAGCAAGAGGGACUUGAUUCUACAAUAGCUCUUAAAAUCUGCACUUACAAUAAAUAGUAGUACAAUAAAGUACUACUCUGCUAUCGUGACAUCAGUUCAACUUAUUUCAGAUUAAAACUGUGACACCCAUUGCCUAAGAAGGGCAAACCUGUGUGCAUCUAUGUUAGCACUUUAUUUCAGUUCAAUUACAUAGUUUUGAAGCAAAUUAGGUUGACCUCCUCUCCUCCUCUUUGUCCUGUCUGGUGGAGCAUCCCCAGGACACACAGAGGAAACGUUUCACCUGCAAUAUAGCAGGAAGCUGUGCUCCAGCCACAAAUGGAGCAGCCGAGAAACACAAACCCGACCAAGCAAGGACAGCAUGGAGGCUGCUCUCCUGCUCAAAUUAGGGUGCAGUGCAGAGCUCUUCCUGUGGUGCCAUCCCACGUGCUAACACAGUGAUUAAAACACAAUGAUGCUAGCCCCAUGUUUAUGGCCUCAGCUAUUUCCCUAGGCUGGGGUGAAGCUCGACACCCAGAAGAUGCUGCAGGACUGCUUGGAUCCAGACUGCUUGAUCACAUUAUGAAAAAAAUAAUUACAGAUCCAAAAGAAAAUUCUUGAGUGCACCAGAUACCCUUCCUUGAACUAGAGCUGCAGUUUUAAAAGAUGCUUGGUGUCUCCGUGUUGUGGGAGGUGUAAGGAUUAAGAGAAGAGUGAGAAGAAAGAAAGGAGCUCUUCCAAUAUUUCCUGUUAUUUGUUUGUGUUCUAUGGUGGAAAACAAUUUUCCCCUCACAAUGUUGUCAUUUUGUAUUUGGCAAGCAUUGAUUUUUUUUUAUUUAUUCAUUUUUUUUUAGCUUGUUUGCAGUAAAGCAUGAAAUGAACACA